rnacentral:rRNA from 1 species
AUUGAACGCUGGCGGAAUGCUUUACACAUGCAAGUCGAACGGCAGCACGGACUUCGGUCUGGUGGCGAGUGGCGAACGGGUGAGUAAUACAUCGGAACGUGCCCAGUCGUGGGGGACAACGUAGCGAAAGCUACGCUAAUACCGCAUACGAUCUACGGAUGAAAGCGGGGGAUCGCAAGACCUCGCGCGAUUGGAGCGGCCGAUGGCAGAUUAGGUAGUUGGUGGGGUAAAGGCUCACCAAGCCGACGAUCUGUAGCUGGUCUGAGAGGACGACCAGCCACACUGGGACUGAGACACGGCCCAGACUCCUACGGGAGGCAGCAGUGGGGAAUUUUGGACAAUGGGCGCAAGCCUGAUCCAGCCAUUCCGCGUGCAGGAUGAAGGCCCUCGGGUUGUAAACUGCUUUUGUACGGAACGAAAAGGCCCUGGUUAAUACCUGGGGCUCAUGACGGUACCGUAAGAAUAAGCACCGGCUAACUACGUGCCAGCAGCCGCCGCAG